AUAAAAAGAUUGAAAGUAGAAUUAGAAAAAGAUUACUCCAAUGUGGACAUUACUAGGAACUUGUAUAAUCAGCUCAAAUACUACAGUUAGACAGCCCAAGUUACUAAAUGGCUUUAAAUGUCAUCCAAGCUCAUUGUUACAGAGUUAAGUGGAAAGCUGCUAGGCAACAUGAACAUAUGGAACGAUUUCUGUGUACUUGUUUUGCAUGGAGGAACAGUAUUAUCCAAUGUUAUCCGUAUCGUACGAUACGGACGCGUAUCGUACGAUACGUAUCGUCCGUAUCAACGUUUUCGAUACGUUACACCUAUUAAAUACGAUACGUGUACGUAUCGUACGCGUAUCGUACGUAUCGUGCGAUACGGUGGGCGUAUCGCACGAUACGGGAGUAAAAUUUAAAAAGGGGCCGUCGGGCCCAUUUUUGCUUCUUAUUCUCAAACCGACGCUCCUCUCUCUCUCUCUUCUUGUUUCUCAACACUGCGAGGGACGUGGGAGGGAGAGAUUUUCUCCAUUGCAUCAAGAUUUGCCGGUGAAGAAGCUUCAUUUCUCGUUGUGGGGAGUCUUGGGACGGUGGGAAGCUUGGAGAAAGAGGGUUUUUUGGUUUUUAACACCAAGAAGGUAAAAAAUAACUCAUUUUUGCCGUUGAAUCGUUCAUUUCUCUUAUUUCCUACAUUUAUUUGUAUGUUUUUACUUGUUUUGUGAAGAUAUAAUGUCGGAUCCUGCAUGGCAGUGGUGUACAAAGGUGAAUCCCAAAGAUAGAUUAAGAGUUAAGUGCAAUUAUUGUAAGCAAAUCAUAUCAGGAGGGAUUUCUCGCUUUAAACACCAUAUAGCUGGUACACACAGCGAUGUGGCUGCUUGCAAUGGCUCCCAAGAGAUCCCAUUGCCAGCGUAUGUAAAGCACCAGUGUCAGCAGCUUCUUGAUGCAGUGAAAGCAAGUAGGAUUGAAAAGGACAUGGAAGAUGCGGAGGAAGGAUAUGGGGACCCACAUGAAGGAGAAGAAAGUGAAGGUGAAUAUGUUCAACUUGAACAAGAAGAUGUUGGUGUCAGUUUGGGAACAACUAAAGGGAAAGGCAUCAUGCAUGGAGGUGGUUCUUCUGCAACUGCAACCAGAAAAAGAAGAGGUGCAAGUAUAAGUUCAGUUUCACGAGGACGUGGCAGAAGUCAGGGUCGUACUGGUGGUGGUAGAGUACCUACUAUGAGGUCGAGCAAUAUGUCUGGUUCGAUCAAGAAUUUUUUUCCCAAUUAUACUGCUGCUGGUGCUCAGCCUGAGAUUCGUAUAGCCAUGCAAUCAAAGGAUAUUAUUGAAGCAGCAGAUGAAACCAUAGGAAGGUGGUUCUAUGAUGCAUCCAUUCCCUUCAAUGCAACAAACUCUUAUCAUUAUCAGCCUAUAGCAGAUGCGAUUGCUAGUGUAGGGCGAGGGUAUAAAAUGCCCUCUUUUCAUAAAUUGCGAGGUAAAAUUCUCAACAAUAUAGUUAGAGAUGUGAAGACAUAUUGUGAUGAACUAAAAUUGAGUUGGAAAGCUACAGGAUGCAAUGUAAUGGCAGAUGGGUGGACAGACAUCAAGAACAGAACAUUGGUAAACUUCCUUGUAUAUUGCCCUCUUGGUACUAUGUUCUUAAAAUCUGUUGAUUUGUCUGAUACUCCGAAGACUGCUGAUGUGUUGUUUGGGAUUUUUGAUAAAGUUAUAGAAGAAGUUGGGCCUGAAAAAGUCGUACAAUUUAUCACUGAUAAUGCAGCAAAUUAUAAAGCUGCAGGUGAAAUGUUAGCAGCACGAUAUGGGACAUUUUAUUGGAGUCCAUGUGCUGCUCACUGUGUAAAUCUUAUGCUUCAGGAUCUUGGUGAAAGGGAUGAUAUGAAGUUGACAGUUCACAGAUGCCAAGAAAUCACGAAGAUGCCAAGAAAUCACGAAGUUUAUUUACAAUCAUGCUUAUGUCUUGAAUUUGAUGAAGAAAUUCACAAAUGGGGCUGAAUUGAUUCGACCUGCACAAACACGGUUUGCUACAAAUGUUUUGACUGUGCAGGGUAUAGUCAAGCAAAGAUCUUCUCUCAGGCAGAUGUUUUCAAGUGAUGAUUGGGCUGCAUAUCCACAUGCCUAUAAAAGAAAGGCUACGACAGUUGUGGAUACCAUCUUCGAUGUUGACUUUUGGGAAUCAUGUGUGCACUUAUUGAAGAUUUGUGUACCUCUAGUGAAAGUCCUCAGAUUAGUUGAUAGUGAAGAUAGACCUUCUAUUGGAUAUUUAUACGAGUCUAUGGAUAGAGCCAAGGAGGCCAUUAGAGAUAAUAUGAAGGGAAAAAAGAAGUUGUACAUGCCUAUAUGGAAGAUUAUAGAUGAAAGGUGGUCUGGACAACUUCAUCGCCCACUUCAUGCAGCAGCCUACUACCUAAAUCCUGCCAUUAGAUAUCUUCCCACUUUUAAGAAGGACAGAGAGGUCGAGUAUGGCAUGUUGGAUUGCAUUGAUGUAUUAGUAAGUGAUAGUAAAGAACAAGACGCUAUCCAUAUGUCGAUCAACAAAUAUGAUACGGCUUCUGGUACCAUGGCGAGAGACACAGCAGUUCGAUGCAGGACAACUAUGCGUCCAGAUUUGUGGUGGGAAAGGUUUGGGCCUGAUUGCCCAGAAUUAAGGAAGCUUGCAAUUAGAAUCCUCAGUCAAACAUGUAGUGCAACUGGAUGUGAAAGAAAUUGGAGUGUAUUUCAGCACAUCCAUAGUAAGAAGAGGAAUAGGCUGGAACAUAAAAGGUUGAAUGACCUUGUUUAUGUUCGUUAUAAUAUGAAGUUGAGACAAAGGUAAACAUUUGUUUUGUUAUACAAGAAUAUCAAAUUCUAAUAUAUAUUUUAAUCUCUAACAAUUUGUUAAUUUUUUCUCUUGUUAGGCAACUAGAAACAACAUCUACGAGGAAGCAUCACAAUCAAUAUGAUCCUAUCUUCAUUGACCAUUUUGAUAUAUUAGAUUCUUGGGUUGAAGAAGAACCAGCUGCAAUACUUGAUGAGGACGAUCUUGAUUUUUUGAAUGUUGAAGGAGCAGCAGAGAUUGUUGAAGAAGGAGAGGCUGGGGGGGAGCAAUGGAAUGUUGGUGACAUUCCAUUUGCAACAGAGGGGAUAGAAGAAGAAGUUAAUGAAGGAAGUGAAGAUGAUGAUGAAGAAUGAAGAUGAUGAUGCAAAUGACGAUUGACGAUGCUUUUUGUUUUGAGUUUUGAAAACUAUGUCAAUAUGUUCUGAGUUUUGACUUCUGAACUUAUGAAUUGUGAUGUAAUUGAAUACUCUUAGGUUGUUUAGUAUGUUAUUUUGUUUUUUGAAUGUUUGAUUUCUUAUUUCGGAAUGUCUUGUUCAUAUGCAUAGCUCACAGGUCAUACUUCAUAUACAUGAAUGAUGAAUGUUCCUUUAAAUACAUUUUUAUUGAAUUUUUCUGAUUUUUACUAGUUUUUUCGGAUUUUUUUAGAAUUUUUCUGAUUUUUUUUCUAUUUUUUAUAAAUUUUUAAUAUUUUUUACAAAUUAAAAAAUUAAUUUUACGAUACGUUACGAUACAUUUACGAUACGUUACGAUACGGCGUAUAGGUCGGCCCGACCGAUACACGAUACGAUACGACAGUGAUAACAUUGGUAUUAUCUCAUCAUCUUUAGGAACAGCAUGAUGCCUUCCUUCUUCAGAAUGACUGUGAUCAUGCCCAUCUCAUGAAUGUGAUGACCUCGUCAUGAAGCAUAAGCUAUAAAACGUGACUAGAUCUCUGAAGGAUGACCAGGACCCAAAACCACAAAGACAAUGUGGUAAUCUGGACACUGAUAACAUGUUGCCAAGAACCUUCUAGAAACUGAUAGAAUUUUGACAAUGAAAAUCUUGGUUUUCCUGCAAAGACCCUUCCAAACUAAAAAUAAGAGCAAGGGGAAAACUCCAAGCAAGUACCCAGAAGACUCUUAUACACGUCUAUACAUUGACAGAGCAGAAGAAAGACAUGAAAAGAUGAAAAUGAUCCCAAAGCAUAGGACAAUAAAAUAAGAAAAACACAAAUGCAUACAUACUCACAAAGAUACACAUGCAAUAGCUACUUCAGAGGAAUCAAAGUUGCAAUAUUGUUGCAUAUGCAUCCCAUUCUGUUCGACGAUUAACUACAGUUAACCUUUCAUAUUACAAUCCUAUCAGGGAUCUAGAUGUUUGAGGAUCACAUCAAAAAGUGCAGUUAGACGUGUAUUCCUAGUGCUUCAUCAACUGUAUUGUGUUAAGCAAUUUCAAAAUUUCAGUAAACCAUGAUUUUGGUCUCUAAAAAAAGUGGUACCAUGACCCAGAACAAAAGAUUGCACAAGGCUUAGGUUUUAAGAAGCCAAGCUUUUGUUAUAUGACAUUAAUAUUGGUAACAUUCAAUAUGACAAAAAUACAGCAUAUGGGAAACACUAUUCAGUGAAAAGGAAAAGGAAAUGC